UUCCCCCUCCCAAACCCCUGAUAGAGGGGGGAAGUUAAGAGACAGCAGUGAUGCCAGCACUGCUCAGAGGCAGCCAGAGCACUGGUAACACCUGUUCAGGGUUAGCAGGCAGUAGUCCCAAAAUCUGCUUCCAAGUAAUUUUUUGAACUCUGAGGAGGUAACAGCAUCUCUGGGGAAAGUUUCACUGGAUCACUGUACCUUAAGAAACUAUUCCUGUAUGAAGUAUCUGUCACAGAGGAGCUGAAAUAUUAAGAAAAAUGCAACAAUU